rnacentral:RNase_P_RNA from 1 species
GAGUCGGCCAGGCAAUCGCGUGCUGUUUACAGCGCGAGGAAAGUCCGGGCUCCGUAGGACAAGGUGCCAGGUAACGCCUGGGGGGUGUGAACCCACGGAAAGUGCCACAGAAAACAGACCGCCAUUUUUAAUGGUAAGGGUGAAAAGGUGCGGUAAGAGCGCACCGCGCUACUGGUAACAGUAGUGGCAGGGCAAACCCCACCUGGAGCAAGACCAAAUAGAGGAACCGUCAGCUUCGGCUGCAAGGCGUGGUCCGCGCUGUUCCUGGGUAGGUCGCUAGAGCCCUUUGGUGACGAGGGGCGCAGAUGAAUGAUUGUCCUCGACAGAACCCGGCUUAUCGGCCGACUCC